UUAAACAGCUGACCCCAACCGAGGCUCUUGCAGUUCGUAUCCAGCAGGGAGCAGCAGGGCUGUAGGAUCCUAUAGCAAACAGGGUGGGAGGUGAACUCUGCAGAUGAACCUCUGAACUCUGAGGCUGCACUGGCCAAGGACAGCAACGAUGACAAAGGAACCAUCCUUUUGACUUUGGGAGGGAUCCCAACAUGAAAAUUUGGUUAGCAGUGUUGCUGGGAACAUGUGAUUUUAUGGGACAACACAUCCAGAUCAAGUCCCUGGACCAAAAUGGGUUACAUGACCCUGUAUUGAUGCUUCUUCUGGAGAAGGAAUUCUUCUCUUAUGUGCUUACAGGCAAAUUCUCUCCAAAAAGCUGAACAGCAGGCGUGUAUCUUUUUCCAUUGUCUGAUAUACCAUCACCAAGAUAGGUAUUUGUGUCUUGUUAAGAAAAUUCUACCCCACAACCAGAGCUGGGAGAAUAGAGAGAGAAGAUUAUUCUUGAGUAUCUGCUUCUAAAUAGACACUUUGUCUGUGCACAUUUAAUUGCCAAAAGCAAAUUAAAAGUGCCGUAAAGUUUUGUUUUUGCAAACAUUUGCAGAAAGUAAAUUUCAAGACUGCUGCUAAAUAAAAUGUCUUUUGGGUAGAAGCAGAAUUAAUUUAUAAAGGUUUAUUCCAUGUGACUUAGGUACCCAAUCAUACUAUUUGACUGUUGAAUUGUGCAUACUGAAUAUUUUAAAGAAUAUUUGCAGUGAACAGCUGGCAAACAAAUCCAUAGACUAAAACUUCUUUGGAAAAAGAAUACAGUGAGUAAAUUGGAAUAGCAAAUAAAUUAAUAAAAAUCUUAGUAUGUUUGCAGACAAUUCACAAACAGGAAGAAGGCUAUAAUGACUGAACAGUUCACCCAAUUCUGCUGUCAAACAAGUGCCUUCUCCUGUUAUAAUGAGAGCAUAAAGCGGAGGCUUUGAUAUCACUGUUUUGUCAUGGUAAUUGUGAUGCCAUGAAUUCUGCAUGAUGACUUCACCGUUGGAGGAAAUUAUGGAUUGUGGGAGAAAGGCUUAAUUUAAAUGUCAGUAUAGAUAAUAGGCCAAAGGUCAAGAAAAAUUAUGCAUAACACAUGACAUGUAAAUGCAUUGCAUUAUUUAAGUGUGAUCUAUCUGAAAAUUUUCCCACAUAAAAAUCCCUCUUCAGUAUCCCUAUGCAACAUAUUUCAUGAUUAGUGUGCUUAGCGCUAUCAAGAGAAUUAAAACCUUACAGAAAUGGAGAUUGAAUGGCAUGAAGUACUGCACCUCCCCUCCCCACACAGACCAUAAUGUGCAGUGAUGUUUUUGACAAUCUUAGCAGAAAGGCUAGGACUAAUUGAAUAUACAAACUCCUCUCUCACACCAGAAACAAGGUACAUUGGAAGGUUGGUAUGGGGAAAAAUUUCCCUGUUCACAGUGUACAGGUCUGAUUCCUGUUCUGCGGAAAAACAGAAGACUUCACUACUCAGAAUUAUUAAUGUUCAUAAACACUAUGGGUGAAAUCCUGUCUCCACUGAAGUCAGUGGCAAAACUCCCCUCAAUGCAGUCAGGAUUUCACUCUAAGUGCCCGAUCUAACCCUCAUUAAAAUAAUUGAUUCUUUAUAAAGUAUUGUUUAUUAAUCACUUAGUCACUUUAUAAAAUUACAUAAAAUAUUUUUGAAUCAGUCA